rnacentral:rRNA from 1 species
GCGGGAAAUCUUACCGGGUCCGGACACACUGAGGAUUGACAGAUAUAUACCCGUGAGUACUUCGGUGCUCGCGGGUUGAAAGAUGCUAGUUCUUUCAUGAUUAUGUGAUAGGUGGUGCAUGGCCGUUCUUAGUUCGUGGAGUGAUCUGUCUGCUUAAUUGCGUAUCAAUAAUAGAGACCUAGUAUACGCGUAGACUCAUGCGGUAGUGACCCCCCUUCACAGGGCGCGUGUCGCACGUAUGUUAUACGCACAGGUCUCCGAUAGCAACNAACGUGACCGUACUCUAUUGUUGCAGCGACAAUACCUUUAAACGGGUAUUACCGCUGCUUANCAAGAUUC